UACAGAGGGUGCAAGCGUCGUUCGGAAUUAUUGAGCGUAAAGCGCGUGUAGGCGGCUUUGCAAGUCGGGUGUGAAAGCCCUCAGCUCAACUGAGGAAGUGCGCCCGAAACUGCAGAGCUUGAGUGCCGGAGAGGGUGGCGGAAUUCCCCAAGUAGAGGUGAAAUUCGUAGAUAUGGGGAGGAACACCGGUGGCGAAGGCGGCCACCUGGACGGUAACUGACGCUGAGACGCGAAAGCGUGGGUAGCAAACAGG
rnacentral:rRNA from 1 species